rnacentral:rRNA from 1 species
CCUACGGGUGGCAGCAGGGAGGAAUAUUGGUCAAUGGGCGCGAGCCGGAACCAGCCAAGUAGCGUGAAGGAUGACUGCCCUACGGGUUGUAAACUUCUUUUAUAAAGGAAUAAAGUGAGGCACGUGUGCCUUUUUGGAUGUACGUUAUGAAUAAGGAUCGGCUAACUCCGUGCCAGCAGCCGCGGUAAUACGGAGGAUCCGAGCGUUAUCCGGAUUUAUUGGGGUGAAAGGGAGCGUAGAGGGGUUGUUAAGUCAGUUGUGAAAGUUGUCGGCUCAACCGUAAAAUUGCAAUUGAUACUGGCAGUCUUGCGUACCGUUGCGUUAGGCGGCUUUCGUGGUGUAGCGGU